UUGGUCAUCUCGUGACGAUCCAUCUGGUCGACACUGUGUCUCUCUUUAAAGUAUUAAUUCUUGUGGAUUGCGAGAAAUGAAUACGAAGCACUACAAUGCCAUUUUUACAAUAAAUAUAUAUUAUGUGAUAAAAGCUGCAAAUUUUAUACUAACGAAUACAAAAGAAGAGAGACUAGGUUUAUAAAAAUUUGAGGGUAGUAUUUUAAAAUUCAGUGAUGGUCAACAAGGAAGAAAGAAGAGUAAAAAUAAAAUUAAAAAACAACAAUGAUGACAACAACAGUAACAACAACAAAAAACAAGAAAGAUAAAAAAAAAAAAAUAUGGGAGAGCAUGUUGGAAAACAAAUGGUCGACUUGACAGCUCCACUUGGGUUGAACGAAGUUGAGAUGGAACGAAAUAAGUAACUGAAUAGUUGAGGCAGAUGAACAAAGAUACUAAAAGAGUAAAACGGCAGAAACGUAUCCACGGUGGGGCGUGGAAUUGAGAUAAGAAAAAUAAAGAAGCUCAAAAAGUAAAAGAAGCAAAAAAAAAAAAAAAA